AUUGAACGCUGGCGGCAGGCCUAACACAUGCAAGUCGAGCGAGCGGCGGACGGGUGAGUAAUGUCUGGGAAACUGCCUGAUGGAGGGGGAUAACUACUGGAAACGGUAGCUAAUACCGCAUACCAUCAGAUUUGCUCAGAUGGGGUUAGCUAGGAGGUGGGGUAACGGCUAACCUGGGCAACGGUCCCUAGCUGGUCUGAGAGGAUGACCAGCCACACUGGAACUGAGACACGGUCCAGACUCCUACGGGAGGCAGAGGUGGGGAAUAUUGCACAAUGGGCGCAAGCCUGAUGCAGCCAUGCCGCGUGUGUGAAGAAGGCCUUCGGGUUGUAAAGCACUUUCAGCGGGGAGGCGUUACCCGCAGAAGAAGCACCGGCUAACUCCGUGCCAGCAGCCGCGGUAAUUC
rnacentral:rRNA from 1 species